rnacentral:rRNA from 1 species
UUCCGGUUGAUCCUGCCGGAGGUCACUGCUAUCGGAGUCCGACUAAGCCAUGCGAGUCCAGGGGCUUCGGCACCGGCGGACUGCUCAGUAACACGUGGACAACCUGCCCUCGGGAGGGGGAUAAUCCCGGGAAACUGGGCCUAAACCCCCAUAGGCCAUGGGUGCUGGAAGGCCCCGUGGCUGAAAUUCCGAAAGGAGCCCGAGGAUGGGUCUGCGGCCUAUCAGGUUGUAGUGGGGGUAACGGCCCCACUAGCCUACGACGGGUACGGGCCCUGAGAGGGGGAGCCCGGAGAUGGACUCUGAGACACGAGUCCAGGCCCUACGGGGCGCAGCAGGCGCGAAACCUCCGCAAUGCUCGAAAGAGCGCCGGGGGGACUCCGAGUGC